GACGAACGCUGGCGGCGUGCCUAAUACAUGCAAGUAGAACGCUGAAGGAGGAGCUUGCUCUUCUGGAUGAGUUGCGAACGGGUGAGUAACGCGUAGGUAACCUGCCUGGUAGCGGGGGAUAACUAUUGGAAACGAUAGCUAAUACCGCAUAAGAGUAGAUGUUGCAUGACAUUUGCUUAAAAGGUGCAAUUGCAUCACUACCAGAUGGACCUGCGUUGUAUUAGCUAGUUGGUGGGGUAACGGCUCACCAAGGCGACGAUACAUAGCCGACCUGAGAGGGUGAUCGGCCACACUGGGACUGAGACACGGCCCAGACUCCUACGGGAGGCAGCAGUAGGGAAUCUUCGGCAAUAGACGGAAGUCUGACCGAGCAACGCCGCGUGAGUGAAGAAGGUUGUCGGAUCGUAAAGCUCUGUUGUAAGAGAAGAACGAGUGUGAGAGUGGAAAGUUCACACUGUGACGGUAUCUUACCAGAAAGGGACGGCUAACUACGUG
rnacentral:rRNA from 1 species